UACGUAGGGUGCAAGCGUUGUCCGGAAUUAUUGGGCGUAAAGAGCUCGUAGGCGGUUUGUCGCGUCUGCUGUGAAAACGCGAGGCUCAACCUCGCGCCUGCAGUGGGUACGGGCAGACUAGAGUGUGGUAGGGGAGAUUGGAAUUCCUGGUGUAGCGGUGGAAUGCGCAGAUAUCAGGAGGAACACCGGUGGCGAAGGCGGGUCUCUGGGCCGAUACUGACGCUGAGGAGCGAAAGCGUGGGGAGCGAACAGG
rnacentral:rRNA from 1 species